GAAAAUAUUCUUAAUAAAGACAUAUGUUUGCAAACAUCUAUUAAACUUAAGCAUUUAUUGCAACCUAAUUUCGUUAUAAAAGCUCUAUGAGUACAAUCAACUUUAUAAAAUUAGACCGUGUUUCGCUAUGAAUUUAGUUCACCACACCUGUGUUUCAUCACCAGCAGUUAGAUCUCUAAAUGCCUCACCAGGAUCACCAAAGAUACUAAAUAGCAAUAAUCACGUGCUUGGAAUUGUUACCCAAAAGACUAACCAUGUA